UCGGAACGUGUCCUGGUCGUGGGGGAUCGCCCGGCGAAAGCCGGAUUAAUACCGCAUACGCUCUGUGGAGGAAAGCGGGGGAUCUUUCGGGACCUCGCGCUCAAGGGGCGGCCGAUGGCAGAUUAGGUAGUUGGUGGGGUAAAGGCCUACCAAGCCGACGAUCUGUAGCUGGUCUGAGAGGACGACCAGCCACACUGGGACUGAGACACGGCCCAGACUCCUACGGGAGGCAGCAGUGGGGAAUUUUGGACAAUGGGCGCAAGCCUGAUCCAGCAAUGCCGCGUGUGUGAAGAAGGCCUUCGGGUUGUAAAGCACUUUUGUCCGGAAAGAAAACCUCUGGGUUAAUACCCUGGGGGGAUGACGGUACCGGAAGAAUAAGCACCGGCUAACUACGUGCCAGCAGCCGCGGUAAUACGUAGGGUGCGAGCGUUAAUCGGAAUUACUGGGCGUAAAGCGUGCGCAGGCGGUGAUGUAAGACCGAUGUGAAAUCCCCGGGCUUAACCUGGGAACUGCAUUGGUGACUGCAUCGCUCGAGUAUGGCAGAGGGGGGUAGAAUCCACGUGUAGCAGUGAAAUGCGUAGAGAUGU
rnacentral:rRNA from 1 species